rnacentral:sRNA from 1 species
UGAAUUAAAUUAAAUAAUAAUUUAGAUUGAAUGGAAUUAAUUUUAUUGAAUGUUUUAGAUUGAAUCGGAUCAUAAAAAAUUUAGGAGAUUGUUAAGACCAAAUUAUCCUUAAUGAUUUUGAAUAGCAAAGAACAAAAUCCAGAAUUGAAAUCAAAAUUGAGGUCAAAUUAGACAAAAAUUUCAUUUUGUACUUCCCUUUUAAUAAUAAGGGGAUAAACUGGAUUAAGUUUACACACUUG